UAGAUGAUGAUUGUUGCAUUG
rnacentral:piRNA from 1 species